CUACGGGCGGCAGCAGUGGGGAAUAUUGGACAAUGGGGGAAACCCUGAUCCAGCAAUGCCGCGUGUGUGAAGAAGGCCUGCGGGUUGUAAAGCACUUUCGGUUGGGAGGACUGCUUCUAGCACUAAUAUUGUUGGAAGUUGACGUUACCUUCAGAAGAAGCACCGGCUAACUCCGUGCCAGCAGCCGCGGUAAUACGGAGGGUGCAAGCUUUAAUCGGAAUUACUGGGCGUAAAGCGCGCGGAGGCGGCUAGAUCAGUCGGGUGUGAAAGCCCCGGGCUUAACCUGGGAACAGCAUCCGAUACUGUCUAGCUUGAGUACAGGAGAGGAGAGUGGAAUUCCACAUGUAGCGGUGAAAUGCGUAGAUAUGUGGAGGAACACCAAUGGCGAAGGCAGCUCUCUGGCCUGAUACUGACGCUGAGGUGCGAAAGCGUGGGGAGCAAACAGGAUUAGAUACCCGUGUAGUC
rnacentral:rRNA from 1 species